UGGGGAAUAUUGGGCAAUGGGCGAAAGCCUGACCCAGCCAUGCCGCGUGAGUGACGAAGGCCUUAGGGUUGUAAAGCUCUUUUGGCGGGGACGAUAAUGACGGUACCCGCAGAAUAAGCCCCGGCUAACUUCGUGCCAGCAGCCGCGGUAAUACGAAGGGGGCUAGCGUUGUUCGGAAUCACUGGGCGUAAAGCGCACGUAGGCGGACUUUCAAGUCAGGGGUGAAAUCCCGGGGCUCAACCUCGGAACUGCCUUUGAUACUGUUGGUCUCGAGUCCGGAAGAGGUGGGUGGAAUUCCUAGUGUAGAGGUGAAAUUCGUAGAUAUUAGGAAGAACACCGGUGGCGAAGGCGGCCCACUGGUCCGGUACUGACGCUGAGGUGCGAAAGCGUGGGGAGCAAACA
rnacentral:rRNA from 2 species